CGAGGCGGAGCCCUGCUGCCUCAGGCGCAGGACGCGGACUGGCGGUGGGCGAGGAGGUGAGGCGGAAGUCCCGCCCCGCGGAGGGACCGCGGCGGAAGUCCCGCCCCUGGGGAGGGACACGGCGGAAGUCCUGAAGCUAGUGCUCCCAGUCUCUCAAAAGGCCACUUCCAUGCAGGUGCGGCUUCUUCCUGAGGAUUUCCUUUGUUGAAACGAAGAUCACAGGAGACCAUACUUGGAAUUUCUCUGUUAGCAGUGACAUUAUCUGGACGGGAGCAGCCAUUCACAAACAUCUGGCAGAACAGUGCGGGAGAGAACUUUACAGAUGCCAUUUGGCAUGGGACUACCCAAAGUGCUUUGUGAAUGAACCCAUGACAAACUUCCACUCCUGGGUAAGAUCACAAAGACUACAAAGAUGACCCAAGAACACACUUCCUCAAAGGAAAGUGCCAUGAAACCUAGAUGCACUGCAGGAAGCAACCACAGCAGGUGUCAGAAUAAGAAGCAGAUGGACUCUGAUGACAGGUCCUUAGAGGAGAGAGAUGGUGUCAUGAGCAAGUUCCUCUCUGUGGCUGUAUAUAAUUGUAGUAAAUGCUGGACACACAUGUGCAAACCCUGCAUUCUUUCCGGCCUGGGAACGUAAAAAUAAGUGUCAGAAAUGUAGAUGCUGAAGAGAAUGAGCAACCCUAAAAAGAGGAAGAGCCAGACAGGAGAUCCCCAAUUAGUUCUGUCCCUAUCCCUGACUUUCCACAGGAUCUUAUCAUGGGGUGCAGAACAAAAGCAGCUCAACUGAAGACAAAAGGUCUGAAGCAAGUCUAGAGCAACCCCUAAAGAAUAGUUUUCAAUCCAAGUCCACAAAGGAACCAACACUCAACACAGGAAAAUAACGUAAUCCAGAACUGCCACAGUUUAGUAAUCACAAUAUCUGGCUACAAUCCAAAAGCCAUCUGAAAUGCAAAGAAACAAGAAAGUGGAAACCACUUCCAAGAGGAAAGACAAUCAACUGACCCAUCCAUGAGAUGGAGCAGAUGUUAAGACUACCAGAAACAAAACUCAGAGCAACAUUUGUAACUAAAGUCUAUGAUGGAAAGCAAAACGUGCCUUCAAUGAAUAAAAACCUCAAGAGACAAAUGGUAAACCCCAGCAGAGGCAUAGAAACAAUUUUUAAGAGACCAAGUGGGAAUUAUAAACCCAAAAAACACUAUUUCUGAAAUUAAAAGUUUUCCAGAGGUCCUUAACAGCUAAAGAACAUAAGAGGAGAUAGAAUAAGUGAAAUUGAAUCAGUGAGUAGAUAAGAGAAAUGAUAGCUAGACCAAACAUUUCUAAGGAUAAGGAAAAAAGAAAAAUAAUGUUUAAAAUAUAGCAAACAGCAAGAGUCUCAGAGGACUGUUUGAUUCUUCAUUCAGACAUUACUGUAGUUACAUAUACAUCUUAAAGGAGAAAAUGUUAUUUGGCUCUUGGUUCCAGCAAUUUCAGUCAAUGGUUGGCUGGCUCCAAGGCAUGAACAUGGCAGAAGGACAUGGCAGAAGAAAGCUAGUCACAUCGUGGCAGCCAGGAUGCAUACAAAGCAAGGAAGAGCCAGAGAUGAAGGAGCUAGGGACCAGAUAUAGUACCUGAGGUCAUGCACCCCAUGAGCCAACCAGACAUACCCAGAAGUGUGCUUUAUUAAUCCCCUAGGCAUCUCUCUAGUCAAUCAAGUUAGCAAUCAAGAUAACAUCACAGGUAAAUAUACACUUCUGUUUAUUAUAUUUUCAUGGUGAAUUUUCUCUUUCAUCAUUAUGAAGUUUGCCUUGGAGAUAGCAAACCAUGGACUGAAACCCCUGAAAUUAUGAGCCAAAAUAAACGUUUUCUCCUUUAA